GACGAACCGUGCGAACGUUGUUCGGAAUCACUGGGCUUAAAGGGCGCGUAGGCGGGUGUGCAAGUCUGCGGUGAAAGCCUCCAGCUUAACUGGAGAAGUGCCGUGGAUACUGUCGAGCUCGAGUCCGGAAGAGGCGAGUGGAAUUCCUGGUGUAGCGGUGAAAUGCGCAGAUAUCAGGAGGAACACCGGUGGCGAAGGCGGUUCUCUGGGCCUGUACUGACGCUGAGGAACGAAAGCGUGGGGAGCGAACAGG
rnacentral:rRNA from 1 species